CAAGUACUCCCUCCGUUCCGAAUUACUUGUCACAGGUAUGGAUGUAUCUAGAUGUAUUUUAGUUCUAGAUCCAUUUCUGCGACGAGUAAUUUGAAACGGAGGGAGUACCCC
rnacentral:pre_miRNA from 1 species